CAAUAGCGUAUAUUAAAGUUGUUGCAGUUAAAAAGCUCGUAGUUGGAUUUCUGAUCGAGACAUCAGGUCGGGUCCGAGAGGAUCAUGUACUUCGAUUUUGUUUUGAUCAUCCUUGGGGAGAGCAUUUCUGGCAUUCAGUUGUCGGGAUUGGGAUCCUCAUCGUUUACUGUGAAAAAAUUAGAGUGUUCAAAGCAGGCCUCGGCCUCUGAAUACAUUAGCAUGGAAUAAUAAGAUAGGACUUUGGUGGUCUAUUUUGUUGGUUUGCACGCCAAAGUAAUGAUUAAUAGGGAUAGUUGGGGGUAUUCGUAUUCAAUUGUCAGAGGUGAAAUUCUUGGAUUUAUGGAAGACGAACUACUGCGAAAGCAUUUACCAAGGAUGUUUUCAUUAA
rnacentral:rRNA from 1 species